rnacentral:tRNA from 1 species
GGGCAGCUAGCUCAGUUGGUUAGAGCGUCGCGUUGACAUCGCGGAGGUCACUGGUUCGACUCCAGUGCUGCCCACCA